UUUCAUAGUAAUUUUAUUCAUGAAUAUGGUCACUUAAACUUCAUUUCACCUUUGCCCAAGAAGAAUUUUGCUUCAGUUUAUUUAUUUAACACAAAAGAGAAUGUCUGGCUUAUUAUGCUUCAGAUGAUUGACACAUCUCUUGUUUGGAUCCAGAAAAUGUUAUUUAAAAUUGCAGAAGGGUACUAGGAGCUUGUGAAACUUCAUUCUUAUAACAGUAAAGAAGCUUGUGUUUAACUAUUCAUUUUAAUUGUAAUCUUUAAGACUUCAUAGCUUUUUUUCUUUCUUGAAAAGCAUUGCUGUUAAUAUAGGCAUUUUAAACUGUUUUAUUUAGACAAAUUGUUGUCUUAAAAUUGUAUGUACACAGUUGCUCCUAUUGCGUUUCAAAGAUUAAAGUCAAAAUAUGGCUUUACAUGUUUACAUCUUGCAAAAUUACUCCUUCAAGAGGCUUUAAAAUACCAAAUAUGAAAUACAAAUUUGUGCACGAUAGUGUGGUUAGAAUUUUAACAUACAUCAAAAGAAAUCCUUCCAGAGAGGUCAUGAGUUCAACUUUUAUAUGUUCCUGUUUAAGUUAUAGGUGCACUAUGUAAAAUGUCCCCCUUUUUGAAAAAAGUUAAGAACCUAGAAACUGAAUAGCACGAAAAACUCUUUGUGGGACUCAAUAAUUCAUCUGGAAAGGGCUUUGUGUCUGUCUUUCAUGUUUAUCACUGUUUUUAGCUUUCUUGGAGGUGGGAAGAGCUUAUAGUUAAGGGCCCAUUAUCAGGGAAAAGGAUGCAGGAAGUCCAAAAUAUUUAUAUUUGUUCGUGGCACAUGGACAGAAGAUGGUUCUCAGGAAAAGGGCUUUCUGAUUGAUUGAAGACAUGCUGGCGUAUUUUAAUAGCUUCUUCUGUCCAAGAGAUAGCAUCAUCUUUGUCCUUAUCGCUGCUCUGAAACUUACUUUAAACAUUCUCCCAUGCUCCUCCAAUUAGAUGCUUCACUCUCUUGGCUUCCUGUGUCCUCGCUGCAACUCAUCUCAUUUGUUUGCAUUCUCAUCUUUGUCAGCAGGUUGGGUGAAGAAGAGGCAUAUAACAGAUAAUUGAAGGGACAUGCUUUGCAGCUUCAAAUUCAUCUGCAUGGCAUCCAGCCACAGCCACACGGUGAUGGCGAUAAAAUGUGGAUGUGGGAAACAUCAGCUUCCACUUUGCAAAAGCUUAAGAGCCGGCAAUUGAUUGAAUGGAAUGAGAAGAUGAAGAGAAUUAGAAGUGAUAUUCCUAAGGUGUUCUGCAGACCAACACACCAGACAGAAGACAUGGAUUAAGAAGAAAGAAUGAAAAAAAAGAGAGAAAAGAAAAAGAAACAACACACACACAGCAUCGGAUGAAUUUUAGAGUUGCUGACAAUUCAGAAACAUGAAGGAACAAGGAGAGAAAAAAAGUGGACAAUGUCCUGGACCAAAGUACGAAAGAGGUGUUUUGAGAAAGGGAUGCCAUAAGAAAUAGCAUAAGAGUCAGUAAAUAUUUGGGGAGAGAUGGAGUGGGAAUGGAGGGAGGGAAGGGAAGAUGGAGAGACGGAGGGAUUGUAGGAGACAAGCAGCAUGAUAUCUCAGGCUUUAGGAAAUAGAUUGCUGGGGUUUACAAAAAGGGCAGGCCACAUUCCAAGGUCAAGAAAGGCAAAAGUUCAUGUGGCUCACCAGACAAUCUUUGAAAAGUAGAAAUCCUAACAAUUUAAUCACAAAUGAGCGUACUAGAGAAGUGAAUGCAGUAUUGACAUUUAGCAAUGCAGCCACAAAGACUCACUCUCCAGACAGCAUCCAGUUAUAGGGCAUCCGCAGAAAUAGAAGGAAACCUGACUCAGCUAGAGGAGGGAGGGAAACAUGGAGGAAUGUCAAGUCGGCUGAGUACAAUGUACAUUUGAAAACACUGCUACAAGGGUUUGUAACUUCUGAAACUAACUUCAUCUACAGUUGCUUCCAUAGAUAGAACCCCUGACUAAUAUGAAAAUGCUUUGCAUGAUACUUUCAUAAUAUGUUUAUCAGCAAGGAGAAAUGUUUCCAAGAGUGACAUGAUAGAACAAGGACAAUCUGGAGCUCAAGUCAUGUGAGCUAAAAAACUGUAAAGAAAAACCCAUUGGUUUGUACAGGGGUAAAGCAUCGAGUGAAUUAAAUAGUAAAAGCCUGGAAGAUCAAAGAGCAUGAGAGUUGUAAGAUUGGCUUGGAAAGGAGAAUGAUGAGAGGCUUAUGAAAUACCAACAGGUCAUUGACCCUGAUUUUAAGGGGAAAUAGUGAGAUUCCUUAAUAUUUACUGUUUACUAAAAUACUGUCAAAUUCUUGCUGGCUUUUAGGAACACUAACCAUAAUGCUUUGUGAGAACCUAUGUAGAAAUGUAGUGUUACUGGAACCAACUUUGACUUAUUGCUAGCCACACAUUCCCUUCCCAAAUGAGGCGUAUGGAGUGAUAGGCAGGAAAGCUGAAGUUGAAGUAUAUCUUUGGUUUCAAAAGAAAUUUAUUGGACAGAAUAAUUUAAGUAAUUCUGGGUCAGACAGAAAAUGUUAAGUUGCAUUAACUUAUCCAAGAUAUGCUUCUAUCCCACACUGAUGGUUGAAAAUUUUUUAUUUAAUCCUCAGUAGUCUUGUACUGUAUUUCACCUGAACCAACAGGACAAUUUUUUGUUCCCUGGAAUUUAAGAUAACACAAUAGUGUCUUGACCUGUGUACUAGGGAGAGAUGAACUCUUAGCUGGCCAUUCUUGGAUUCUGUGGUCUUUCGUGGCAUGUUGUCCUCCUUUGUGUCUUAGUACUUUCGGUUUCAUACACACUAUUCUGGAGGGAGCAGAUCAGGUGCUCCUAGUAAACUGUAGAUAUUCAAUGAUUCAGAACUGUCUGAUGUCCCCACGGGAUAUGUGGCAGGAAGUAAACAACAGCAUUUAGUCUUGCUAGUGCUGUUGACUAUGAUAGCAGACAGCAGAGCAUUCAUUGUUCAUGCUCCUCUUUGCUGGGACCUUCUUAUUGCCUUCUGCUCUACUCCAGUUCCUCCCUGUAGCUGAUGAUGAAGGUGGAUUCCUGGACGGCAAGGUUUGAAUUGAUCCAUCUUUUCCUAAUUGCUAUGGGGAGUGCGGGUUCCCUAAGUUCACAAUUGCUGCGCUUCUGCAGAACACACGGUCCUCAGCUGAAGGAAACCAUAUCAAACGUGCCGGGAGCAUAAGCCAGACUUUCAGAGGUUCAAGGUCAACUCAAUUUCGAGAAGGAAUGUGCAUCUCAGGGCUACUGAGCAGAGCCUUCAAUGCCAAUUUAAUGCAAGUACUCUUCAUCCCGGAACACUAGAAGGCCAGACAUAAAGCUUUGACUUCAAGCCACACACAAAACAUGUGAUUCCAUAUGGGCUUUUGCUGCAUGGUAGCUGUUGAAGGCUUACGUGUGCCAGUUAAAGACAGCUUGAAGGUAACCACUUGAAAGUCAGCAUCAAACAAAG
rnacentral:sRNA from 1 species